AAUGGGAAUUCAGACACUGUGGGUGCGCUUUCCAAAAGGACAUUAAAAUGACAGCGCUCUUCUGAAUGCGACCGGUUCAUCGAAAAGCAACCGAGGACCCUCUCUUUAUCUCUCUGUUAAGAGAAAUAGGGGAGGGGACUGAGAAUAAAAACUGUGCAUUGAUUUUUUAAAGAUACACUUCCAUCCUGUGUGGGCUCUCAGUCUCUCUUGAGCCAUCUCUGCCUUUCUCCAGGGCUGGCAUCGGUGCCAGUGUCUUUAGGGGUUUUCGCUGGAGUGGAAGCUGGGAGACUGGAAUCCCAGGAGCCUCCAGCUCUGAGUCUCUGGGCUAGCCCCGCUGCCACAAAUGGGAUUCAAAUGUGCAGUCUCUCAGGGCAGUGCAAUCAACAAAAUAGCAUGUGAGCGUUCCCGGCCUACCGCAGGUGAAAGUUAGUUUGGUCCCCUUCUCCUAAUGAAAUAUUUUGGAGUUUCAAAGAUACAGGAAAAGGAGGUAAGAGAAGAAAAAAGAAAAAAAAUUGGAAUUCAAAAUAUUACAAAAAUGAAAUGAGGAGCAGGUAGAUUUCAGAAGAACUUGGAAAGACUUCCAUGAACAGAUGCUGAGUGAAGUGAGCAGAACCAGGAGAAUAUCCUACACAAUAACAGCAACAUUGUCUGAUGAUCGGCUAUGACUGACUUAGCUCUUCUCGGGAGUACAAUGAUCCAAGGCAAUUUCAAAAGACUCCUGAUGGAAAAUGCUACCCAGAUGUGGGAACAGAAGCCCAGAAAAUGUCAGCUAACUUACCCAAAGGCACGUGGAUAGUAAGUAACAGAAGGAGGAUUUGAACUCAGGACCCCUGACCUGGAAUCCAUCAUUGAUUUUCCACUGUCCCCCAUUGUGGGUAAGGCAUUCUUCCUAUGUACACUACUUCACAUUCUAAAAGAAACCAGAGGGCUCAAUAUCAGAGGGACUCCCAUGUUAGAGAUACUUCGCAAUCAAGAAUCUUGUUUGUAAUUAUUGGUACCUUAAAUUUUUUAUUUAUAAUUAUAAUAACCAAUUGUUGAUAAAAAAAUAAAUCUCUCUAUUUAGGAAGCAGAAGAGGUAACAAGAUUUGCAGAAAGAAAACUUGAGUUCAAAUUCUGUCUCUACCUAACCUCUUCUUUUAUUCUCAUCCCUACUAACUCAUGGGAAAUGAGUGGAUUUUAACAGCCUCAGUUGUGUAUGCCUGAGUGUGACAG